GUUUCAUGUAGCCUAAUCCACUGUUGCGGGAUUAAAUGAAAUUAUAUAUUCAUCUGGUUUCUAUUAUGAGAUAAUAUUUUCAUACUGGUAAACAUAGAACAUAGAUUGCUACUACACAGUUCCAAAAAAAGAGAAUGAAGCAGACCAUUGUUAGGAUGUCUCUGAAAUCUAACUCAGGAGCUGACCUCAAUGACCCAGUGGUAAAGGAACAGAUGUUGGAGCAGGUCAGUGUGGGUCUGGAUGAAGAGGACCAGUCAUGAUGAUGAUGAAGGAGAAGGAUAGAAGGUCCAAGAGAACUAAAAUAUUCAAGCUUACUAUCUCCACUACAGGGCUCUCCAUGGCAGCCUGGACAGUCUGCAGCCAGACACCACACUGAUCUGCCAGAGAGACUUCCACACUCAUGGUCUGGAAGCAAACCUGCAUUUCAAUUCAUUGUAGUAUUACACCACUAUAACUACUAUUAAUAUUAUUACUAUUAUUAUUACUAUUAUUACUACUUUUCUUCUUAUUAUUAUCUCUAUUAUAUGAUAUUACUUAAUGAUAUUGUACCUACAUAGACUGACUCACAAGCAUUGCAGUUUGACCUAUAAUUUACUGUAAUACUUUAAUUGUUUUAAAAUAGAGUAAAGAAAGGUAAAGUUAAAGUUAUUAACUGAAAAUUUACUAUUUAACUCCUGUGUGAUAUGUACUGUAUCAGAACGCCAUUUAGUUAGAAUGUAAUUAUUGUUAUUUUGUACUUCCUUUCAACUUUGUUCUGAAUAA